UAAGUCGUGUUAUGUUUCUGAGGUGAAUAAGGUGACCAGAGCUCUUGAGAGAAUUGGGGAUAGGGUCGUCAACGCGCUGGCGAUGCUUCCUGUGUUGCAGACGUCUAUUAAGCUACAGUAAUCGCUUACCAUCAGGUGAGCCGUACACUUGUUUGCCGACCUAGU